AAUGAACGCUGGCGGCAUGCCUAACACAUGCAAGUCGAACGAAGGCUUCGGCCUUAGUGGCGCACGGGUGCGUAACGCGUGGGAAUCUGCCCUUGGGUUCGGAAUAACAGUUAGAAAUGACUGCUAAUACCGGAUGAUGUCGUAAGACCAAAGAUUUAUCGCCCAAGGAUGAGCCCGCGUAGGAUUAGCUAGUUGGUGGGGUAAAGGCCCACCAAGGCGACGAUCCUUAGCUGGUCUGAGAGGAUGAUCAGCCACACUGGGACUGAGACACGGCCCAGACUCCUACGGGAGGCAGCAGUGGGGAAUAUUGGACAAUGGGCGAAAGCCUGAUCCAGCAAUGCCGCGUGAGUGAUGAAGGCCUUAGGGUUGUAAAGCUCUUUUACCCGGGAUGAUAAUGACAGUACCGGGAGAAUAAGCUCCGGCUAACUUCGUGCCAGCAGCCGCGGUAAUAC
rnacentral:rRNA from 1 species